rnacentral:lncRNA from 1 species
AUUACAGCAGAUAUCUAGAGUUUAUUCUUCUUGCAUAACUGUAACUUUAUACCUAUCAAUUAGUAACUUACAUUCUUAUAACAUUGGCCUGGUUCCUUUCCUAUAUUCGAGCUAGACUUCAUUCUGUUUUAUUUCUGAAAAGCCCCAAGUUUGUUUUAAAUUGAAGACCUUUGGACUUACUGUCUACUCUGUCCCUGCCUUAAAACUGAGUAUGGUUAUAUCCUACUUGUCAUUAAAUCCAGUUUAAAUAUCACCCUCUCCCCUGCCCACUCAACAUUAGCAUAUCAUAUGUUAUUGAUAUGUUUUAACAUUAACUUUAUCAUAUUACUUUAUUUUCCCCCCUAACUUUGUUUGUUCAUUAAUUAUCCACUCAUUCUUUCAUUCAUUUUACUUCACAGGUUCUCCGUUGCAAUGUAGGUGGCAAGAAAGCAGGAAACUCUCUUUCAAACUCACAAAUACAUCUCUAAUAUAAAAAAAUACUUUCUGAAUCGUGUUGCCAUGGUGAUACCUCAUAUAGUUUCGGACACAAAAGAUUUAAGACACGUUCAUUCCAGUGGAAUUGUAGAAUUGCUUAGAAUAUGGUUGAAAUCUGAAAACUAUUUGGGGGACUUCGACUAAUAUUUUUCAUCUUUUAUAACUAGGACUAGCACCAGAUGAUACCUGUCCAAAAUGUGUUUAUGGAUUCCGAGGUCCUGGAGCUACAAGCAUGUUUUUAAGAACUGUAGCCCAAGAUCACAAAUGACCGUACAAUUAAUACGUACAGCAGUUGGUUAUCACCAGUACCAUUUUAUCGAGUGAACAAAAUGACUGAAUGGGCUUCGCUACAGCAAAAGCAUGUGGAGAUAUCAGCUAAGCCAAAGCAUCCCAAUCAUACAGAUUCCAUUAAGGCCCUGCUGAAACAAAUCUGAAUUUAAUUUAAACUCCACAGGAAAGGGUGCUCGUUGCUCUUCGACUGCUGCUUUUGCCUCCACAGCAAGGACUGGGGCUUUUUAUCAGCCACCUGCUCUUCCACAAAGCUGUCUUAACUGAAAUGGAUAUUUUGUCUUUUUAUGUUUAUGGUUUUUAACAAUCAAAGUUCAUGAUCCAGAACCACUGCAGAGAUAUUGCUGAGAAAGAAAAAGAGUAAAACCUUCUUAAUAUCUCGAAUCAGCUUAAACAGGAUAGGAAGAUUUAUGAGUAGAAAUCAUUACUUAACACUUUCUGUGUUGGCCAUGAGCAGAAGAAGCCAAUGCCAUUGCUG